rnacentral:misc_RNA from 1 species
AGCAGCCGCGGUAAUUCCAGCUCCAAUAGCGUAUAUUAAAGUUGCUGCAGUUAAAAAGCUCGUAGUUGAAUUUCGGGAUCAAUAUGUUGGUCGUGCCUCGGUACGUACUAGCUUAUUGGUUUCUUCCUUCUGACGAACCAUAAUGUCAUUUAUUUGGUGUUAUGGGGAAUCAGGACUGUUACUUUGAAAAAAUUAGAGUGUUUAAAGCAGGCUCACGCUUGAAUACAUUAGCAUGGAAUAAUGAAAUAGGACGUUUGAUUCUAUUUUGUUGGUUUCUAGGAUCGACGUAAUGAUUAAUAGGGAUAGUUGGGGGCAUUAGUAUUCAAUUGUCAGAGGUGAAAUUCUUGGAUUUAUUGAAGACUAACUACUGCGAAAGCAUUUGCCAAGGAUGUUUUCAUUAAUCAAGAACGAAAGUUAGGGGAUCGAAGACGAUCAGAUACCGUCAUAGUCUUAACCAUAAACUAUGCCGACUAGGGAUUGGAUGAUGUUAAUUUUUUGAAUGACUCAUUCGGCGCCUUAU